rnacentral:lncRNA from 1 species
UGCCUAUCGACUACGCUUGCCGUAUUGCUUAACGGCGUACUCUAUUCCGCCUACAGACAAGUCCUAUACUUAGCUUCCUUAUUUGAUUAUUGGUCUUGUUGUUCUCGGAACUUGUGCCUAAGGCUCUCACUCGCGAUACUCACCGGGCGAUAGAUAGUCACCUGAGCCAAGAAAGUAGAUGAAAUUGAGAAUAGAAUGAGAAUGGGCUUUCAGCUUUCAUAGAUCUUUCCUCUCAAAAGAGGUGUUACCUAAUCCACUAUGUCCUUUGUUUAAUACUGCGGUAACCUGGAAUUUCAAACCUUUUUUCUACCCUCGCCACUUCUUUCGCUGACCCUAUCCACCUCCUUUGCGGAAUACCAGAUCAAGAGAUGAAUUAGCGGAUCACAGGGCUAAGUCGAAGCAUGCCAGAACCUUCUUUAGUAGUGAGCCGUACCGACUAGCUCCUAGCAAGGGCUUCAAGAUCACAGUAAUGCUUGCCAAAACUUUCCUUGGGUACGAAUGUCAUGUUCAAAGCAGGUUUCUCUAGACACCUUGGAAAAGAUCACUGACGAGCUCAAUCUCAAAGUGUGAAUGAAAUUAUCAGUUUCAUCCUCUUUAUGAGCCUGAGAUCAUAUGGGUCAACAAUUCUCAUUUCUUAGUUAUAGAAAGCCCUUCUCAAGGAAGUGAGCCACUCAAUCUGAGCCAGCGGAUUCUCAUUCAGCUGUGCCGGUGCGCAAAGCAAGCACGCUUAGACAACGAUGUCCAAUCUUUGGUCUGCCCAUUAAGGGCUGACUCCGCUAGGCAAGAGGACUACUACUGGGAUUAUUCUAUUACUAAUUGAUGACCUGGGCUCUUCUUUCUCCACUACAGAUAUUGACUGACCUGUUGAUAGUAUAGCGGGGGCAGUAAAGAGGAAAGGAGGAAAAAGAAGUAGAGUUAGGUUCUGUUCUUGUGUGUAAGCCCUCGGUCGAUUCGUCUGCUCAUUCGCAGCGUAUGAUUCUUAUCCAAUUGCUUCUUCUGAAAACGCGGCGUCGGUUAAUCUUUCUUAUUCUCCCUUCGGGGCUCCUCAUGUUGCUACUAAUAGAAACAGUUCGGACCUUGCUCAUACAAUCCUCGGGACUACUAUUGGUUAAUCUUUGUCCUCCCUAGGGAAAGUAAACAAGACGAGACUUUUUGGGAAAGACAGGGUUAGCGCCCUUUGGUUGGCGGAAGCGAGAAUCAUCUUUUGAUUUUUUGAAGUUCAAUUUCUAUCAGAGGACAAUAUGAAUAUUAUACCAUGUUCCAUUAAAACACUCAAGGGGUUAUACGAUAUAUCGGGUGUAGAAGUAGGCCAACACUUCUAUUGACAAAUAGGAGGUUUCCAAAUUCAUGCCCAAGUACUCAUCACUUCUUGGGUCGUAAUUACUAUCUUGCUAGGUUCAGUUAUCAUAGCUGUUCGUAAUCCACAAACCAUCCCGACCGACGGUCAGAAUUUCUUCGAAUAUGUCCUUGAGUUCAUUCCACUAAAAUACCUUUGAAUAGCGCUGAAGAUAUCAUUGCUAUAAAUUGAAAGAAUAGAGUGAGAUUUGUAUUUGAACUAGCUAAGGCAUACUUCACUGAACUCCUGCUUUCCAGUCUGCGCUUCGCUUCCUCUCGGUCGAGUAAGAUUCCCUUAGCUUUGAUUUGCUUCCAUCUUUCUAAACUCUGUUGUCUCGGAAAAGAAAGUAUCAUGUUGCUCCUCGGAAAACGCGUAUAGUAGUCUCAUUGGCCAAAGUAAAGUCGAUGGGACGCUCCAGUGUAUGCGUUACUGUACUGGGAAGCUAGCAUUUUAUUUUGUCAUGGCGCAAAAGCAGAUAUGGUCCGGUAUUCCCUUGUUCCCCGUAUUGGUUAUGUUCUUUAUUCCUCGUCUAGCAGAAACUAAUCGAGCUCCGUCUGAUCUCCCUGUUCCGCAUGGCAUGAAAAAACCAAUCAAAUCUUCGUUUCCUUGGAAAAACCGAGGCCAGUUGAGAUCAGUCUCCCUUUCUAGGAGCAGAGCUUAAAAAGAUGGGAAAUUCCAAUGAAUUUCGAUCACAAUCAUGUGGUAAUAAUGGGUUUGAAUCAGAGAGACUCGAUCUGGAAACUCCUCAAUGAUUAUAACGUGAACUCGUUGAAGAGAAGGAGACAAGCAGAAAUAGACGCUUUUUUUGAACCAUUUGAGAGGGCGCAGCGUAUCCGUUUCAAUAACUGGCAGAACGGAAUAGAGUUGUUAGAUGGGGCUGAAUGGAGGAACGGCGAUAUAGUUAUCCCUGGAGGCGGCGGACCAGUAAUUUCAAGCCCCUUGGAUCAAUUUUUCAUUGAUCCAUUAUUUGGUCUUGAUAUGGGUAACUUUUAUUUAUCAUUCACAAAUGAAUCCUUGUCUAUGGCGGUAACUGUCGUUUUGGUGCCAUCUUUAUUUGGAGUUGUUACGAAAAAGGGCGGGGGAAAGUCAGUGCCAAAUGCAUGGCAAUCCUUGGUAGAGCUUAUUUAUGAUUUCGUGCUGAACCUGGUAAACGAACAAAUAGGUGGAAAUGUUAAACAAAAGUUUUUCCCUCGCAUCUCGGUCACUUUUACUUUUUCGUUAUUUCGUAAUCCCCAGGGUAUGAUACCCUUUAGCUUCACAGUGACAAGUCAUUUUCUCAUUACUUUGGCUCUUUCAUUUUCCAUUUUUAUAGGCAUUACGAUCGUUGGAUUUCAAAGACAUGGGCUUCAUUUUUUUAGCUUCUUAUUACCAGCGGGAGUCCCACUGCCAUUAGCACCUUUUUUAGUACUCCUUGAGCUAAUCUCUCAUUGUUUUCGUGCAUUAAGCUCAGGAAUACGUUUAUUUGCUAAUAUGAUGGCCGGUCAUAGUUCAGUAAAGAUUUUAAGUGGGUUCGCUUGGACUAUGCUAUUUCUGAAUAAUAUUUUCUAUUUCAUAGGAGAUCUUGGUCCCUUAUUUAUAGUUCUAGCAUUAACCGGUCUGGAAUUAGGUGUAGCUAUAUUACAAGCUCAUGUUUCUACGAUCUCAAUUUGUAUUUACUUGAAUGAUGCUAUAAAUCUCCAUCAAAAUGAGUAAUUUCAUAAUUGAAUAAAAACGAGGAGCCGAAGAUUUUAGGGGGCGGGAGAAAAGGUCAAGUCUAAGCGACAUAUGGCACGAAAAGGAAAUCCAAUUUCGGUAAUCCGAAGCCCACCUUACCUUAAUCCAUUUUCUUGAGGAUCUUGCAUUUGUUCGUUCUCUGCCGACCUAUUGUUUCCAUCACUCCUGUUGCUUCUUCCUUUCUCUAUCCAACCCGAGCUCUAUCGCCCAUGGCUGAACUCUUCUCUGCAGCCUCAUCGCCAACAAAAGGUCCACAUCCUUCAAUCGGCAUGUACUAUGGAAUGGCUUUAAUGUUUCUAUAUCCGGAAGUAGGGAAUCUCGUGCUUGCAUAUCUAAAUCUAAGUUUUGAGACAGACCUUUCAUGGGUUCAAAGAAAAGAAGAGUACGAGUGGGUGAUGUGAUUGACUAAUAGGAAAGUGAUAGGAGUUGUGAUCGGGUUUCUUUCUUUUUUUGCCAAGGAUAUUCUUAUUCACUGCUCAGAGAAAAUGAAAAAAAACAAACUAGGAUUCUUCCGAACUCAACUCCGUGGCCAAAACCAUCUUCUCACUCUGACCCCCACAUAUCAGAUCCCAGAUGCAUAGGAAAAGCGGUAUCAAGAAUAGUAGUAUAAAGAAAGAUAGUACAGUACUCAAGUAAAUGAAUUCGCCUAAGGAUCGAUGGAAAGAUCAAGGUCCCCGUGAAAAAGUAGAUACUAGAUCGAUAUGAUACUCUCAUCUCUGGAGUAACUUCUUCCAUUAUGCUGAUCUCUAGGUCCGUUCCAUCAUCAUCGUAAUAGUAUGGUCCCAGGUGUCCGAGCUAUAGAUCAAGAUCAUAUUUAGUCACAUUUCUACCGGUGCACUUCUCAUGAAAUAAUUCCCUUUCCAAGGAAAGGAAAACAAGAACUCGAAUACUCGUAAUAGCGAUCCCGAUCCACCUACUUUUUUCUAUUCUUUGAUUCGAAACGUGCUAAAGCACAAGCCAUUUUUAUGCAUGGGGCAUAAGAGUGGACAAUCUAUGUUAUCGAAGGAAGUAAAUAACAACACUUCAGCGUUUAGGUCUACCUUCAGUAAACCAAUAGUUUUGCAGCAUUGGAAUUUGAGUUGGCCAGGUAAGGUCCUCUAAAAAGAAAAGAAGAAACUACUUAGAAUAGAUAAAUGCCAUUGGUUUUCUCGUACUAUACGAUCUUUUUUUGUUUUGUUUUUUGGCCAUGAUUGUGCUGCUCCUGUGAAGGCUAGUGGGAAAGCUCACCGUUCGUUGUGAUGAGUGGGGGCCUUGUAUCUGUAUUCGGAUCAGCUCCUUAACAGAGUUUCCUGCUUGAACCCUGGCUGGGAGCUGGGAGAGGUGUCCCACUACAGGUGCAAAUAAACCAUUUGACCUUACAGGGGAAAGGAAACAAACCACUCAAUAAUCGGUAGAAAUUCCUCCUACUGAACAGCUUUCCUUUUCUCGCCUUAACUACUACUUCAAAGCAAGGCGGAAUAUCACGGGAUAGGAAUGAAAGAACUUCUUACUCAACUUUCUAGCUAUAUAAAAAUAGUUAGCAAUAUGAAACGAGUAACUUAAGCCCUAGUAAAAGGCUACUCUUUGAAUCCCCUCUUUAAGGCAUAUAAAAUUAGUACUCUUCCUGAGCUAGCUUAAGCAUAUCUUGAGCGAGUGAGUUGUAUUUCCCUCCAUCAAGUUCUAAGCGAUCAAAUAAGGUCCUUGCUCUCGAGCCAAUGCCAAUACCAAUAGAGAGGGUCUAAACGAAGGAUUCAAAGGAGGUUACCGGUUAAGGGCAAAUGCAAUCUCUAAGCCAGUUGGAGAAGAAAGGUAAUCAAAGAAAGUUUCAGUUGGACUUACCCUGCCAACCCUACCCUAAUUUCAUACCCUGCGGUUUUCGUUCCUCUAUUGAUAUUUCGUUCCUCUCCUUACGUCGAGCGACCUGGAUUAUUCUGAGCACUUCGCACUUCUGAAAAUCGUAUAAAAAUGUGUGGUUCCGAAUGAGAUAACGCGCAACGGCUUUCGCGCUAGUUGCUCAAAAAAUCGUAUAAAAAUAAAGCAAUCAAAAGGUGAAGGCAGGGCAGUGGGCGUGGGACUGUAAAUCCUUUUUCGUUCGCUGGGCCUGGGCCCUUUGGACUCUAAAUCCAAACGGAGUGAGUGGUUCGAUUCCACUUUAGAACGAAAGCAAAUGCAAGUGAAACGAGACGAGAAUCAAAGAUUUUUCAGUGCCGCUAAAACCAGAUCUGGAAAAGUGUUCAGUGCAUCCUAAUCUGAAUCUGCGAAACCUUUCUAUUCUAAGACGGCUAAGUCGAGGGCAGACACAACAGGUCCCGAAGAGGUUCGAAAAGGCGUACAUGAGUUCCUCCUACAUAAGGGGCUCAUUGGUUGUCAACCAAGUGAGAGGGGUCUAAUAAAGCUGAAGGAUGAGUAUAGAUACCUUCAGCCGAGAUCGCUUGGGAGGCAUAGCCGCCUCUACCAGGAGAUUCUCUCUUAUUUCUUAAGAAAGUAUGAAUUGCCAUAGAAUUCUUCGAGGCCUGAUUCAAGAUCUGAAGUAUGAAUUGAACAUUGGUUAAAAAGAAGAGAGAGAGAUGGCGAUGGCAGUCUCUCUCUCUCUUCUUUUUAAGGGAUAUUAUUGACAGGCAAAAACCGUUUUUGAGAAUGAUAAUACUUCAUGGUGUAUGUAGAACUCAACAUCUCAGUAAUUUGCUUCUCAAUUUCAUCUUUAAGGGCUGGAUUAUGCCGGUAAUUACUUACCUCACAAGUUACAUUAAUUUGCUUACCGUCAGUGUCUCGACUCUUGACUACCAAAGCAUUAUAAAUAUAAGGUAACUUGCCCGGGGGAAAAGUGACAUCCAGCACGGGUCCAAUAAUUUGAUCGAUACGCCCUGUACUUUUUUCUUCAAUUGUAGAAACCCCGGGACGAGAAGUAGUAGGAUUGGUUCUCAUAAUUAUCACAUAAUUUUCAAAAAAAAGGAAUUUAUCGAAAUUUUGAUUUUUUUCUUGUUGAAUAAUGCCAAAUCAACACCAAAAAAAUAUCCAAAAAUCCAAAAGUCAAAAGGAAAUGAAUUAGUUAAUUCAAUAAGAGAGAAAAGGGGACCAGCACUUGAUUUCGUUGCCCAAACGAAUCCCAUUCAAUCGUUUACUCAUGGAAUGAGUCCGUCGGAAAGUUCAAUCAAUCUUUUUUUCAUAUACAUUUUGCCUUUUGUAAACGAUUUGUGCCUACUCUACUUUCUUAUCUAGGACUUCGAUAUACAAAAUAUAUACUACUGUGAAGCAUAGAUUGCUGUCAACAGAGAAUUUUCGUAGUAUUUAGGUAUUUCCACUCAAAAUAAGAAAAGGGGGUCUAUUAAGAACUUAAUAAGGAUUAGAAGUUGAUUUGGGGUUGCGCUAUAUCUAUUAAAGAGUAUACAAUAAAGAUGGAUUUGGUGAAUCAAAUCCAUGGUUUAAUAACGAAGCAUGUUAACUUACCAUAACAACAACUCAAUUCUUAUCGAAUUCCUAUAGUAGAAUUCCUAUAGCAUAGAAUGUACACAGGGUGUACCCAUUAUAUAUGAAUGAAACAUAUUAUAUGAAUGAAACAUAUUCAUUAACUUAAGCAUGCCCCCCAUUUUCUUUAAUGAGUUGAUAUUAAUUGAAUAUCUUUUUUUUAAGAUUUUUGCAAAGGUUUCAUUUACGCCUAAUCCAUAUCGAGUAGACCCUGUCGUUGUGAGAAUUCUUAAUUCAUGAGUUGUAGGGAGGGACGUAUGUCACCACAAACAGAAACUAAAGCAAGUGUUGGAUUUAAAGCUGGUGUUAAGGAUUAUAAAUUGACUUACUACACCCCGGAGUACGAAACCAAGGACACUGAUAUCUUGGCAGCAUUCCGAGUAACUCCUCAGCCGGGGGUUCCGCCCGAAGAAGCAGGGGCUGCAGUAGCUGCCGAAUCUUCUACUGGUACAUGGACAACUGUUUGGACUGAUGGACUUACCAGUCUUGAUCGUUACAAAGGCCGAUGCUAUCACAUCGAGCCCGUUGUUGGGGAGGAUAAUCAAUAUAUCGCUUAUGUAGCUUAUCCAUUAGACCUAUUUGAAGAGGGUUCUGUUACUAACAUGUUUACUUCCAUUGUGGGUAACGUAUUUGGUUUCAAAGCCCUACGCGCUCUACGUCUGGAGGAUCUGCGAAUUCCCCCUACUUAUUCAAAAACUUUCCAAGGUCCGCCUCAUGGUAUCCAAGUUGAAAGGGAUAAGUUGAACAAAUACGGUCGUCCUUUAUUGGGAUGUACUAUUAAACCAAAAUUGGGAUUAUCUGCAAAAAAUUAUGGUAGAGCAUGUUAUGAUUCCAUAAAUCUACGCAGUUGCCCAAGAAUUAACUAUUCUUCUUAAUCAAUGAUUUCUUAUAUAGAGAGAACGGCCCUCACAAAUUGCAAAUACUAAUUUGUUAAGAAUCAAUCGAAUUGAAGUCAUAGUGUCAUCGUUGGCUGGAAUCGAUAUAUUCGCGAGAUCUGGGUCACAAUUUGUAUCGGCUAAAGAAAUAGUAGGAAUCCCCAAAAUGGCACAUUCCCGAAGAGCUAUAUACUCUUUUUGCUGAUCGAGGACGAUCACAAUGUCAGGCAACCUCGUCAUAUAUUUGAUCCCGCCGAGAUAUCUUUGCAAGGUAGAUAAUUUUCUCUUCAAGAUUGCCACAUCUCUUUUUGGGAGAUGGUGGAAUUUUUCCAUCUUUUCUUCUGUUCUUAAGUCUCUAAAUUGAGAAAGUCUAGUUUUAGUAAUCGACCAAUUCGUUAACAUACCACUGAACCACUUUUUAUUAACAUAAUGACAACGAGCCCUUAUUGCAGCUGAUGCUACUAAAUCCGCUGCUCUUUUUUUGGUACCAACAAUUAAGAAGCUUUUUCCCUGACUUGCUGCAUCAAAAACUAAAUCACAAGCUUCUGAUAAAAAACGGGUGGUUCUAGCGAGAUUUGUAAUAUGAGUACCUUUACGCUUUGCCGAGAUGUAAGGGGCCAUUUUAGGAUUCCAUUUCUUAAUACCAUGACCAAAAUGAACUCCCGCUUCUAUCAUCUCUUUCAAAUUGAUGUUCCAAUAUCUUCUUGUCAUUUUUUCCACACUUCCUUUUGAUUUUUUCUUUUUUUUCAUCCUACCUUUCCAUUACGAAAUUUCUUUCUUUUCGAAGAUUAAGAAAGAGCCGAAAUAGCUUGAAAUAAAUAAUAAUUGUUCCGAUGGAACCUUCUACAUGGUAUAAGCAUAACCUUAAUGAAUUAACUAAACUUCUUUUUAAAUUAAAAUAAAAAUAGAAAAUCUAACCUCUUAGCGUUCUAAGGUCAAAAAUCUAGUUUAAAGUAAAAAAUCUGCUUUAUGUAUCCUUAAAUCAUAUAAAUGGGGUAAAUGGUGAUUCUGAUGUCUCAUAGAAAUUGUUUGUUACGUCAGAAUCAGAAGAAACUAAUUCUGUAUGGAGAAACAAAAUAUCUCUCAUUUCCGACGCAAAUAGUUUUUUUUUUUUGAAUUUCGAAAUAAAGGUUCUUGUCUUGUGGGUAACGGUGCACAAAUUUUUGGAAUCCGGUACCAACAGGUAUAAUCCCCCCCAGAACUACGUUUUCUUUCAGGCCUUUCAACCAAUCAAUACGACCUCGUAAGGCAGCUUUUGCUAAAACUCGAGCAGUUUCUUGAAAACUUGCUUCAGAUAUGAAACUUUGGGUAUUCAGGGAAACCCUUGUUAUUCCCAAUAAGAUUGCCCGAUAAUAGAUCGAUUCAUCCAAAGCCCGCCCUGCUCGCUCUGCUCGCAAUAGUCCAAUUAAUUCCCCAGGUGAAAAAACAUUAGACAUUCCAUCUUCGGAAACCCGCACUUUUGAUGUUACUUGGCGUAUAAUAAUCUCUAUAUGUCUAUUAUGGAUCUGUACCCCUUGGGAUCGAUAAACCUUUUGGAUCUUAUUAACCAAAGAGAUACGACUUUGGGCUAUGGUUAACUCAGCUCCAAUCAAGAAUCCCCAAGGACCCCCAAGAAUUCUUGGUAUACGCUCAUUCCAAUCCUCAAUUCUCCUUUCGAGAUUCGGCGAUAGUGAAUCAAUUGAACGCGCUUCGAAGAUUUGUUCUACUUUUGGAAGACCUUGCGUUAUGUCACUAGAUCUCGCUUUUUCGUAUAUAAACGUAACUAACCUAUCCCCUUUGUAAAGGAUUUCUCCAUAAUGACCAUGAACAGUUGCUCCUGUAGUGGCCAAAUAAGGCUUAGCUGCUCUUAUAACAAAGGAAUCUAUAUUUACAAUGAAAAUUUGACCUGAUUUUUUUAUGUGCGAUUUAAAUAGACAUACAUUUUCGCAAAUAAAUUGUCCAAGGUGAAUUUUUGCUGAUGUCUCUUCCCAAGAAUCAUGAGGGAGAAAGUGCCAAUUUAACUGGAAUGGAUCCAACAUGAUGUUACUAUCGAAAUUUGAAGUCCUUUGAUUUUCAUUUAUUAAAGAGUGUUUAAGUCCUUGAAGUACUUUGAAGUUUUGUUUCAAAUUGUCAAGGAGCAAAUGCUUUUUUAACAGGAUCUGAUUAUACGUUAGUAAAUAGUAAGAUGAAGAAAAAUUCGAUAUACUAGGUGCAAUAGUACCUAAGAGUCCCGAAAAAUUUCGAAAGAGCCCCAAAAAUUUUGGAAUAGGAAUUCUAGGAUUCGAUUCUUUUACCCCAUUGGGAUUUUUUGAAUUCUUAAAAAAACCAAUUCGAGAACAGUUGGAUGCCGACAAAACCAUCAAAGAUUGGUAUUCUUUAUUUCGAUUCAACAAGGUACCAAUAGCUUCUUGAUGUUGGCUAAGUGAUUGAAUCUUCGCCUUGGAAUAAAAGGAAUUGGUAUUGGUGCGAUCUAACCUAUUAUGGAGAAUCAGUCCUGCACUUCUGCUAUCAUACCUUUUUCGUGUAUACGAAAUAGUGGAUUUGAUUAACCCAAUUCUUAGGAAAUCGCGAAUCAGACCAUUUGCUCUUAUCUCAACAAGGGAAGCACGAGCCUCCUCUUUUUCUUCUUGUUCCCAAUUCAAUACUAAGCAAGUUCGAACGAAUUGACUAUUCGUAUGAUAAAUUCUUUGAGUUAACUUGCUAUUUUCAUGAGAAAUAAAAUUGACAAGUCGAAGUUGGAGAUUACCCUCUUCCUGCAAGAGAUCCUGUGGGAAAAGUGUUGCUAAAUUUUUACUAUAAUAAACCGAGGUAAAAAGAUACAAAUUCUUCCUGUUCCCGGUAAGAAAUAUAGUGAAAUCGUCUUUCCCAUUCUUUCCCCCGACCCUGCUAUGAAGAAAGACGUUCAUUUCUUAAAAUAUCCCAUAUAUGUGGGGGGAAACCGAGGAAGGGGACAGAUCUAUCCUGAUGGUAGCAAGAGUAACAAUACGGUCUAUAAUGCAACGUCAACAGGUGUAGUAAGAAAAAUACUGCGUAAAGAAAAGGGGGGAUAUGAAAUAUCCAUAGUCGAUGCAUCGGAUGGACGCCAAGUGAUUGAUCUUAUACCUCCCGGUCCAGAACUUCUUGUUUCAGAGGGGGAAUCGAUCAAGCUUGAUCAACCAUUAACAAGUAAUCCUAAUGUGGGAGGGUUUGGUCAGGGGGAUGCAGAAAUAGUGCUUCAGGAUCCAUUACGCGUUCAAGGCCUUUUGUUCUUCUUCGCAUCCGUUAUUUUGGCACAAGUUUUUUUGGUUCUCAAAAAGAAACAGUUUGAAAAGGUUCAAUUGUACGAAAUGAAUUUCUAGGUCCCGGGAUUUCUUACCAUCAAGUUGGUAAAAAGCCGCGAUUUAUUGGCGAUUGCUAGAAUUCUCUAUGAUCCAUUUUGGAAAUCUUUUUUUUGUUUAGACUAUUUUUUGUUUGCGAGAUGUCUUGUCUGCAAUUCCUUAUUUCUAUCAUCUCAUGCAAAACGAGGAGAAUGCAAGGCAAGGGCGAGAACAAUAAAAGGAACAAAUCCUUUUAGGAGGGAUUGCUGGUCUUCUUAAUCCUCUAUUGGGCACAAGAAAAAGGCUUUUUUGCCUUUUUCUUGUGUCGAUUCUUCUUGUAUUGUAUCGAAAUAUGAAUCUUUUUUCUUCCUAUUCGGCAAAGAUUACUAUUUCUUCUUUAUUUGGGUCUGUCUCUUGAACCUCUUUUGCUUAGGUUCAGGCGAUGUAGUGGACAAAAAGAGGGAAAGAAAAUAUGGCGGGGGACAAAUUUUUUGUGACCAAAUAGAAUUGCUUGACUUGUUCAAUUAAGUUCAAUUUAGAACUUACAGAAAUUUUGCAAAAAAAACGGAUACUCUUCCAUUGAAGGCUGUUUUUUAUUUUUAGGCUAGUUGAGUAGUUUUAAUUAAGGUUUUAUUAGUUUAUUACUCUAAAUUAAAUCAAUGAUUUACAAGAGACUUCCUCCGGGGAAUAAAAUAUUGGAUCCUCGAUUGAUCCUUUCUUUCUCCUCGCUUCAUAAAAGUGAAUUAAUUUCAUUGGCGAGGGGGUUAUAAAUCAACUGAUGGAUUACUUCACUAACAUUAUUAACAAACAAAAUUAACAAACAAAACGAAUAAAUAGAGGGAUUCUGACCAUCAGAGCAAAGGCUUUCUCUUUGUUAUUUUUACAAAUCAAAAUAGGAAACCCGUUUGUAGGUUAUGGAAUAGAUUAAAAAAGUCGGGUUAUAAGAGUAAGAAUUCCGCGGGUCCUUUCCGCUCUAAUCAGAUAAAAGGGGGUAAGGACCCGCUAAGUUCCUAUUUUUUCAUGUUUACAACCUGGUCCCUCCAAUUACUAUAGAGAUGAACCCAAUCCAGAAUAUGAACCGUAAAAGAAAACACCUAUUAAACCAAUCACAGCAAUACCGGUUACAGUACCUAUCAGCCAAAGAGGAAUUCUUCCAGUAGUAUCGGCCAUUUCCCCUACUUUCCUCCACAUUUUAUCAAGUGGUCAUGCUAGAGACAAAAACAGUCAUGGAUAGUUAUAAGGAUGGUAUCCUUCCAAAUGGGGAUAAGAGAAUUCUUACUACUCUCUUUCUUUCUCUCAAUUGAAGAAGUAAUUGGAAAAUAAAACAGCAAGUACAAAAAUGAGUAAUAAACCCCAGUAUAGACUGGUACGAUUCAAUUCAACAUUUUGUUCAUUCGGGUUUGAUUGUGUCAUAGUUCUAUAGUUGGAAUUUGGUUUAUCGUUGGAUGAACUGCAUUGCUGAUAUUGAUUCUAAGAAAAAAACAGUAGGUACAGCUAGUCCGUGAACAGCCAGCCAUCGCACUGUAAAAAUAGGAUAGGUUCGAUCUAUGGUCAUUGAGGGCCUCCUAAAAGGAUCUACUAAAUUCAUCGAGUUGUUCUAAAGAAUCAAAACGGUCGGUUAUUAACGGAAUUCCUUGUCGGCUUUCUGUGAAAUACUCGUUUGGCCGAGGACUUCCAAACACGUCAUAAGCUAAACCCGUACUGACAAAUAACCAACCCGCAAGACCGUUUCAGCACUUUUAGCUCCGGUUCGUGAAGGACCAGAGAAGCUUUCUAGUUAUGAAUCGGGUAUAGAACCCAUGGGGGGGGCUUGGUUACAAUUCCGAAUACGCUAUUACAUGUUUGCGCUAGUUUUUGUUGUUUUUGAUGUGGAAACGGUCUUUCUCUACCCUUGGGCAAUGAGUUUCGACGUAUUGGGUAUAUCCGUUUUUAUCGAAGCUUUCAUUUUCGUGCUUAUCCUAGUUGUUGGUUUAGUUUAUGCAUGGCGAAAAGGAGCCUUGGAAUGGUCUUAACUGAAUAUUCAGACAAAAAAAAAAGAAGGAAAAGAUUCCAUUAAGACAGUUAUGAGUUUGAUUGAGUUUCCCCUACUUGACCAAACAAGUUCCAAUUCCGUUAUUUCAACUACACUAAAAGAUCUUUCGAAUUGGUCAAGACUCUCUAGUUUAUGGCCCCUUCUAUAUGGUACCAGUUGUUGUUUCAUUGAAUUUGCUUCAUUAAUAGGCUCACGAUUCGACUUUGAUCGUUAUGGAUUGGUACCAAGAUCAAGUCCUAGGCAAGCGGACCUAAUUUUAACAGCCGGUACAGUAACAAUGAAAAUGGCUCCCUCUUUAGUGAGAUUAUAUGAGCAAAUGCCUGAACCAAAAUACGUCAUUGCUAUGGGAGCUUGUACUAUUACUGGUGGAAUGUUCAGUACGGAUUCCUAUAGUACUGUUCGGGGAGUUGAUAAGUUAAUUCCUGUGGACGUCUACUUGCCGGGUUGCCCACCUAAACCAGAGGCUGUUAUAGAUGCCCUAACAAAACUUCGUAAGAAGAUAUCGCGAGAAAUAGUUGAGGAUCGAACUCUAUCUCAAAAGAAAAAUCGAUGUUUUACUACCAGCCACAAGCUUUAUGUUCGGCGCAGUACUAAUACUGGAACUUAUGAGCAAGAAUUGCUCUAUCAAUCACCAUCUACUUUAGACAUAUCUUCUGAAACUUUUUUCAAAUCCAAAAGUCCAGUAUCUUCCUACAAAUUAGUGAAUUAGGAGGAGCUCUUUGUGCCGAAAAAGAAAGAGCAGGGCAAUAUUUCAAACUUGCAUUCGAACUGCGAAAUAUUUAUACAAAGGAGGAGAGAUCAAGAUAAUGCAGCAGGGUUGGUUAUCUAAUUGGCUAGUCAAACAUGAGGUGGUUCAUAGAUCUUUGGGCUUCGAUCAUCGAGGAAUAGAGACUUUGCAAAUAAAAGCAGAGGAUUGGGAUUCCAUUGCUGUCAUUUUAUAUGUAUAUGGUUACAAUUAUUUACGUUCCCAAUGUGCUUAUGACGUUGCACCCGGUGGAUCUUUAGCUAGCGUGUAUCAUCUUACGAGAAUACAGUAUGGUAUAGAUAACCCAGAAGAAGUAUGCAUAAAAGUCUUUGCCCAAAAGGAUAAUCCUAGAAUCCCAUCUGUCUUCUGGAUUUGGAGAAGUUCCGAUUUUCAAGAACGCGAAUCUUUUGAUAUGGUGGGAAUCUCUUAUGAUAAUCAUCCACGCCUUAAACGUAUCCUAAUGCCUGAAAGUUGGAUAGGCUGGCCCUUACGUAAGGACUAUAUAACCCCCAAUUUCUAUGAAAUACAAGAUGCUCAUUGAAUGAUAAGAAAUUCAUGCUCACUUAUACAACACAACUCCAGAUUUUAUGCAAGUCAAGGAAUAUUUUUACGCUCUGUUCCUAGAUGAAACAGAAUACCUAUUACAUUCUAAUUAAUUCCAAUUAUACAAAAGGUUCAGAUAGACUAAGCAAAAAAGGGCUUCAUUUCGUUGGAAAAUCACAUAUUCAUUUCCUUCGUAUGAACAGAAAAAUAUGAUGACUCAAAGAAGUUCCCUACCACGAACUUUGUACCGCGUGCAUUACUUAGAACAACUAGGAAAGUAAGAUAAGAUAAGCAAGAAUAAAAAAAUAUUUGUCGGAAUAGCGGAAUAGAAAAUUAAGAAAUGCAAAAAUGCAGAAAAAGAAGUGCCUCUAUUUAGAGAUUUAUCUACUUAGAUGAAAAAAUCAUACUCUAUCUAUAUUAUUAACGAAUAUGUAUCCCAACCCAUCUCGAGGUAUUUGUAUCAAUACCUAUUCGGAAGAUCCCUUUUUUCUGUGCCAGGAACCAGAUUUGAACUGGUGACACGAGGAUUUUCAGUCCUCUGCUCUACCAACUGAGCUAUCCUGACCUUUUCUUGUGCAUCAUCCUAGUAGAGUAUUUGUAUCUAUGUCAAUAUCCAAAAUUUGGAAAUGGGGAGGGGGCAGUCCUAUGCAUUGUACAAAGAAAGCCUAUUUAAUAAUAUUUAAAUAUCGAGUUAAUAAUCGACAUUCCUUGCCGAUACUAUAAUAAAAAAGAAAUGUAUUCCAUUGAAUCUUAAACCUAUUAAUAAAAAAAACAGGAUAAAUACUAGAGUUAGGGAAUAAAAGAGGGUUUGGGGAUAGAGGGACUUGAACCCUCACGACUUAGAAAGUCGACGGAUUUUCCUUUUACUAGAAAUUUCAUUGUUGUCAGUAUUGACAUGUAGAAUGGGACUCUCUCUUUAUCCUCGUCCGAUUAAUCCGCUUUUAAAAAGAUUUCGAAAACUAUGAAUUGAAGGAUUUGAUUACUCAAUAUUCGAUUGGAAUGGAUUCACAACAAUUCUAAAAAAAUUAUGAAUUUUC